AGUGAUCUCUGAAUUUUUCCACAUCACUGGUCAUUAUGGGAACCAUCAGAAUAUAAGAAAACGCCAAAUGAAAGCAGUAGGUCGCUGUCACUCUGUCCAAAAGUCUUUAGCUGCUUCCUGUCAGUCUGUGUCUGUUUGUCUUUCUGUCAGACAGGAUAAUGGUAUUGAUCCCCAUCGGAGGUAGGGACAGAACCUCCAAAGGACAGAAGACAAUGCUCGCAGCGCCCCAUAGAUUUCUUCCCGGUGCUUCUGAGAGUUUCGUGCAUUUCCGGCUUCACGCCGACCUCCUGCUGGUCUUCAAACGAGGGGUCAAGUUGGGAAAGAGGUAUGCUGACAUUCAUGCUUCUGCACCAAGACCAUGACAUUUAUCUCCAUUCUGCCUCGGAGAAGAUGAAUUCAGCUUCAUUAGAUCGGAUAUUUGGCAAGAAGCCAUGAUGGGAGGAAGAUUCUCCGCCACACACGGAGCGAGGUCGCUGGAGCCAAAGUCUUUCCUGUUAACUCUGUCAUUCAGCCCCCCACCUCCACCACCACCAGCCAUUCUCGUCCACAAAGACAUAAAAGCCAAAAAUAAUUAAAGAGCUGACCCAUUUGGACAAUAGUGUGGGGAAUUCAACAGCGCCUGAAAGAACUCCAGUGCUUCAAACCCAGGAUUCCCUAUAUUAAUCUUGUUUCAAGGCUUGUUUCAUGUCCACUGUUCUGCUAUUUGAUGCAGUUAGCAUAGCCAAUCGUGUGAACAGCGGCGUGUGAAUCAAAGCGGAGCUGAGAACAGCUUUGCUCUGUAACCCGGUGGAACCAAAGAAACAACACAAGUUAAGGGAUUAUGCACGGACGAGUCCCAGACAUUUUUCAGGAUGUGUGUCUGAAGGUUUGCUGAUGGCCACAGCCUCACUGCCAAACAUGCCAAGGAGGGAAAACCUGUUUGUGUCCAUUCAGAUUUUUUAUAUCUAUGUGUGUUCAUGGAUAUAAGUUCAUGGAAGGAAUUCAGAAACGGGACAGGCAGAAUUUACUCCACCCAACUCUACAACCAUCCAGAGGUAUGAAGUACAUUUAAAGCUCUGUUAGGUUAUUUAAUUAAAAGAAAAAUACACACAACCCUUAAGCUUUGUAACGUGUUAGAGAGCUGCCCUCAUCUCUAGUGGUAGUGGGUCAAAUUUGACCCGUGAUUUUUGAGACUUUAAGAAUAGACUAAACUAGCAGAAAUUAUGUUUUUUGAUGACGAUUAUCAUUCCAUUCCAGUACAAAAAGACAAAUCGUACUUUGUAUUUUUCUAUUGAAUUCUCUGUUUUCAUGAUCCUUAGGAUUUGAUGUUUACUUUACAGUUACUGAAGCCCGUUGAGACGACUGCUGUUGUGGUUUUGGGCUUUACAAA